rnacentral:rRNA from 1 species
AGUGAACGCUGGCGGUAGGCCUAACACAUGCAAGUCGAACGGCAGCACAGUAAGAGCUUGCUCUUACGGGUGGCGAGUGGCGGACGGGUGAGGAAUACAUCGGAAUCUACUUUUUCGUGGGGGAUAACGUAGGGAAACUUACGCUAAUACCGCAUACGACCUACGGGUGAAAGCAGGGGAUCUUCGGACCUUGCGCGAUUGAAUGAGCCGAUGUCGGAUUAGCUAGUUGGCGGGGUAAAGGCCCACCAAGGCGACGAUCCGUAGCUGGUCUGAGAGGAUGAUCGGCCACACUGGAACUGAGACACGGUCCAGACUCCUACGGGAGGCAGCAGUGGGGAAUAUUGGGCAAUGGGCGAAAGCCUGAUCCAGCCAUACCGCGUGAGUGAAGAAGGCCUUCGGGUUGUAAAGCCCUUUUGUUGGGAAAGAACAGCAGCAGGUUAAUACCCCGCUGUUCUGACGGUACCCAAAGAAUAAGCACCGGCUAACUUCGUG